UUGAACGCUGGCGGCAUGCCUUACACAUGCAAGUCGAACGGCAGCACGGGAGCAAUCCUGGUGGCGAGUGGCGAACGGGUGAGUAAUAUAUCGGAACGUGCCCAGUCGUGGGGGAUAACGUAGCGAAAGCUACGCUAAUACCGCAUACGAUCUAUGGAUGAAAGCGGGGGAUCGCAAGACCUCGCGCGAUUGGAGCGGCCGAUAUCAGAUUAGGUAGUUGGUGGGGUAAAGGCUCACCAAGCCAACGAUCUGUAGCUGGUCUGAGAGGACGACCAGCCACACUGGAACUGAGACACGGUCCAGACUCCUACGGGAGGCAGCAGUGGGGAAUUUUGGACAAUGGACGCAAGUCUGAUCCAGCCAUUCCGCGUGCAGGAUGAAGGCCCUCGGGUUGUAAACUGCUUUUGUACGGAACGAAAAGGUUUCUCUUAAUACGAGGAGCUCAUGACGGUACCGUAAGAAUAAGCACCGGCUAACUACGUG
rnacentral:rRNA from 1 species